AGUGAACGCUGGCGGUAGGCCUAACACAUGCAAGUCGAACGGCAGCACAGUAAGAGCUUGCUCUUACGGGUGGCGAGUGGCGGACGGGUGAGGAAUACAUCGGAAUCUACUUUUUCGUGGGGGAUAACGUAGGGAAACUUACGCUAAUACCGCAUACGACCUACGGGUGAAAGCAGGGGAUCUUCGGACCUUGCGCGAUUGAAUGAGCCGAUGUCGGAUUAGCUAGUUGGCGGGGUAAAGGCCCACCAAGGCGACGAUCCGUAGCUGGUCUGAGAGGAUGAUCAGCCACACUGGAACUGAGACACGGUCCAGACUCCUACGGGAGGCAGCAGUGGGGAAUAUUGGACAAUGGGCGCAAGCCUGAUCCAGCCAUACCGCGUGGGUGAAGAAGGCCUUCGGGUUGUAAAGCCCUUUUGUUGGGAAAGAAAAGCAGCAGGUUAAGACCCCGCUGUUCUGAAGGUACCCAAAGAAUAAGCACCGGCUAACUUCGU
rnacentral:rRNA from 1 species